rnacentral:rRNA from 1 species
GGUUAAGCUAUUAAGGGCGCACGGAGGAUGCCUAGGCGCCAGGAGCCUAAGAAGGACGCGGCGAACAGCGAAAUUGCCUCGGGGGAGCCGUAAGCAGGCUUUGAUCCGGGGAUGUCCGAAUGGGGAAACCCGGCUGGGGUCAUGCCCAGUCACCUAUGAGUGAAUCCAUAGCUCAUAAGGAGGCACACCCAGGGAACUGAAACAUCUAAGUACCUGGAGGAGAAGAAAACAAGAGUGAUUCCGUCAGUAGCGGCGAGCGAAAGCGGAUUAGCCCAAACCUGAGAGCUUGCUCUCAGGGGUUGUGGGACGUCUCACAUGGAGUUACAAAGGGAUAGGUUAGGCGAAGAGAUCUGGAAAGGUCCGGCAUAGAAGGUAAAAGCCCUGUAGCCGAAAGUCUAUCCCCUCCGAGACGGAUCCCGAGUACCGCGGGACACGAGAAACCCCGUGGGAAUCCGGCAGGACCAUCUGCCAAGGCUAAAUACUCCCUGGCGACCGAUAGUGAAGCAGUACCGUGAGGGAAAGGUGAAAAGCACCGCGGGAGCGGAGUGAAAAAAGAACCUGAAACCGUGCGCUUACAAGAAGUCAGAGCCCGAUCUAGGGGUGAUGGCGUGCCUUUUGUAGAAUGAACCGGCGAGUUACGUUUACGUGCGAGGUUAAGUCGGAGAGACGGAGCCGCAGCGAAAGCGAGUCUGAAUAGGGCGCUUUAGUACGUAGUCGUAGACCCGAAACCGGGUGAUCUACCCCUGUGCAGGGUGAAGGUGAGGUAACACUUACUGGAGGCCCGAACUCGUGAGCGUUGAAAAGCUCUGGGAUGACGUGGGGGUAGGGGAGAAAUUCCAAUCGAACUCGGAGAUAGCUGGUUCUCCCCGAAAUAGCUUUAGGGCUAGCCUCGAGAUUUAGCAUCAUGGAGGUAGAGCACUGAUUGGGUGCGGGGCCCGCCAAGGGUUACCAAGUCCAGUCAAACUCCGAAUGCCAUGGAUGUAUGCUCGGGAGUCAGACGGCGAGUGCUAAGAUCCGUCGUCAAGAGGGAAAGAGCCCAGAUCAUCAGCUAAGGUCCCCAAGUGUGUGUUAAGUGGGAAAGGAUGUGGAGUUGCGAAGACAACCAGGAUGUUGGCUUAGAAGCAGCCACCAUUUAAAGAGUGCGUAAUAGCUCACUGGUCGAGUGACUCUGCGCCGAAAAUGUAACGGGGCUAAACACACCACCGAAGCUAUGGCAUGUACACUUUGUGUACUUGGGUAGGGGAGCGUUGAAUGCGGGUUGAAGUCGGACCGAGAGGACCGGUGGACUGCAUUCAAGUGAGAAUGCCGGUAUGAGUAACGAAAAGACAGGUGAGAAUCCUGUCCGCCGAAAGCCUAAAGGGUUCCUGAGGAAGGUUCGUCCGCUCAGGGUAAGUCGGGACCUAAGGCGAGGCCGAAGGCGUAGUCGAAGGACAACAGGUUGAAAUUCCUGUACCACCGUAAUCCGUUACGAGCGAUGGGGGGACGCAGGAGGGCAAGAACGCGAGCUGAUGGAAUAGCUCGUCCAAGCAGUGAGGGGUGUGUGUAGGCAAAUCCGCACACUAAUACCUUGAGCUGUGAUGGGGAGGGAAAAUUACAGUACCGAAGGUUCCGUGCUCACGCUGCCGAGAAAAGCCUCUAGCCAGGAGAAGGUGCCCGUACCGCAAACCGACACAGGUAGGCGAGAAGAGAAUUCUAAGGCGCGCGGAAGAACUCUCGUUAAGGAACUCGGCAAAAUGACCCGUAACUUCGGGAGAAGGGGUGCCUCGGUAGGGUGAAUAGCCCAGGGGGCCGCAGUGAAUAGGCCCAAGCGACUGUUUAGCAAAAACACAGGUCUGUGCGAAGCCGUAAGGCGAAGUAUACGGGCUGACGCCUGCCCGGUGCUGGAAGGUUAAGGGGAGCGGUUAGGGGCAACCCGAAGCUGUGAACCGAAGCCCAGUAAACGGCGGCCGUAACUAUAACGGUCCUAAGGUAGCGAAAUUCCUUGUCAGGUAAAUUCUGACCCGCACGAAUGGCGUAACGACUUGGGCGCUGUCUCAACGAGAGAUCCGGUGAAAUUUUAGUACCUGUGAAGAUGCAGGUUACCCGCGACGUGACGGAAAGUCCCCAUGGAACUUUACUGUAGCUUGUAUUGAACUCCGGGUACGGUCUGUACAGGAUAAGGUGGGAGCCUGAGGAAGCCUGAGCCGCAAGCUUAGGUGGA